AUGGUGUUGAGGCUGCAUUGGGUUUUCUUUGUUGCUCUUUUAAAAGGUAUCCAGUGUGAGGUACAGCUGGUGGAGUCUGGAGGAGGCUUAGCGCAGCCUGGAAAGUCCUUGAAACUCUCCUGUGCAGCUUCUGGAUUCACCUUCAGUGAUGCUGCCAUGACCUGGGUCUGCCAGGCUCCAGAAAAAGGGCUGGAGUGGGUUGCAAGCAUAAGUACUGAACCCUAUAAUUAUGCAACCUAUUACGCUGAUUCGGUGAAAGGCAGAUUCACCAUCUCCAGAGAUGAUUCCAAAAGCAUGGUCUACCUGCAAAUGAACAACCUGAGAACUGAGGACACGGUGACGAUUCUUCAGUGUGAACCCAGACAAAAACCUCCAUACCAGGUUUACAAAGCCAGCACGGGGCGCUCAGCACACAUGAAGCCUAUGUUUGGAG